rnacentral:rRNA from 1 species
UACGUAGGGUGCGAGCGUUACUCGGAAUUACUGGGCGUAAAGCGUGCGCAGGCGGUAAUGCAAGACAGAUGUGAAAUCCCCGGGCUUAACCUGGGAACUGCAUUUGUGACUGCAUUGCUGGAGUGCGGCAGAGGGGGAUGGAAUUCCGCGUGUAGCAGUGAAAUGCGUAGAUAUGCGGAGGAACACCGAUGGCGAAGGCAAUCCCCUGGGCCUGCACUGACGCUCAUGCACGAAAGCGUGGGGAGCAAACAGG